rnacentral:rRNA from 1 species
GAGACGACGCCUGCGGCGUGCUUAACACAUGCAAGUCGAACGAUGAAAGGAAGCUUGCUUCCUGGAUUAGUGGCGAACGGGUGAGUAACACGUGAGCAAUCUGCCCUUGACUCUGGGAUAAGCGUUGGAAACGACGUCUAAUACCGGAUACGACCCUCGGAGGCAUCUCCUGGGGGUGGAAAGAAUUUUGGUCAAGGAUGAGCUCGCGGCCUAUCAGCUUGUUGGUGAGGUAAUGGCUCACCAAGGCGACGACGGGUAGCCGGCCUGAGAGGGUGACCGGCCACACUGGGACUGAGACACGGCCCAGACUCCUACGGGAGGCAGCAGUGGGGAAUAUUGCACAAUGGGCGAAAGCCUGAUGCAGCAACGCCGCGUGAGGGACGACGGCCUUCGGGUUGUAAACCUCUUUUAGUAGGGAAGAAGCGAAAGUGACGGUACCUGCAGAAAAAGCACCGGCUAACUACGUGCCAGCAGCCGCGGUAAUACGUAGGGUGCAAGCGUUGUCCGGAAUUAUUGGGCGUAAAGAGCUCGUAGGCGGUUUGUCGCGUCUGCUGUGAAAACCCGAGGCUCAACCUCGGGCCUGCAGUGGGUACGGGCAGACUAGAGUGCGGUAGGGGAGAUUGGAAUUCCUGGUGUAGCGGUGGAAUGCGCAGAUAUCAGGAGGAACACCGAUGGCGAAGGCAGAUCUCUGGGCCGUAACUGACGCUGAGGAGCGAAAGCAUGGGGAGCGAACAGGAUUAGAUACCCUGGUAGUCCAUGCCGUAAACGUUGGGAACUAGAUGUGGGGACCAUUCCACGGUCUCCGUGUCGCAGCUAACGCAUUAAGUCCC